rnacentral:rRNA from 1 species
ACGGGAGACACACGGCGGGUGCUAACGUCCGUCGUGAAGAGGGAAACAACCCAGACCGCCAGCUAAGGUCCCAAAGUCAUGGUUAAGUGGGAAACGAUGUGGGAAGGCCCAGACAGCCAGGAUGUUGGCUUAGAAGCAGCCAUCAUUUAAAGAAAGCGUAAUAGCUCACUGGUCGAGUCGGCCUGCGCGGAAGAUGUAACGGGGCUAAACCAUGCACCGAAGCUGCGGCAGCGACGCUUAUGCGUUGUUGGGUAGGGGAGCGUUCUGUAAGCCUGCGAAGGUGUGCUGUGAGGCAUGCUGGAGGUAUCAGAAGUGCGAAUGCUGACAUAAGUAACGAUAAAGCGGGUGAAAAGCCCGCUCGCCGGAAGACCAAGGGUUCCUGUCCAACGUUAAUCGGGGCAGGGUGAGUCGACCCCUAAGGCGAGGCCGAAAGGCGUAGUCGAUGGGAAACAGGUUAAUAUUCCUGUACUUGGUGUUACUGCGAAGGGGGGACGGAGAAGGCUAUGUUGGCCGGGCGACGGUUGUCCCGGUUUAAGCGUGUAGGCUGGUUUUCCAGGCAAAUCCGGAAAAUCAAGGCUGAGGCGUGAUGACGAGGCACUACGGUGCUGAAGCAACAAAUGCCCUGCUUCCAGGAAAAGCCUCUAAGCAUCAGGUAACAUCAAAUCGUACCCCAAACCGACACAGGUGGUCAGGUAGAGAAUACCAAGGCGCUUGAGAGAACUCGGGUGAAGGAACUAGGCAAAAUGGUGCCGUAACUUCGGGAGAAGGCACGCUGAUAUGUAGGUGAAGCGACUUGCUCGUGGAGCUGAAAUCAGUCGAAGAUACCAGCUGGCUGCAACUGUUUAUUAAAAACACAGCACUGUGCAAACACGAAAGUGGACGUAUACGGUGUGACGCCUGCCCGGUGCCGGAAGGUUAAUUGAUGGGGUUAGCGCAAGCGAAGCUCUUGAUCGAAGCCCCGGUAAACGGCGGCCGUAACUAUAACGGUCCUAAGGUAGCGAAAUUCCUUGUCGGGUAAGUUCCGACCUGCACGAAUGGCGUAAUGAUGGCCAGGCUGUCUCCACCCGAGACUCAGUGAAAUUGAACUCGCUGUGAAGAUGCAGUGUACCCGCGGCAAGACGGAAAGACCCCGUGAACCUUUACUAUAGCUUGACACUGAACAUUGAGCCUUGAUGUGUAGGAUAGGUGGGAGGCUUUGAAGUGUGGACGCCAGUCUGCAUGGAGCCGACCUUGAAAUACCACCCUUUAAUGUUUGAUGUUCUAACGUUGACCCGUAAUCCGGGUUGCGGACAGUGUCUGGUGGGUAGUUUGACUGGGGCGGUCUCCUCCUAAAGAGUAACGGAGGAGCACGAAGGUUGGCUAAUCCUGGUCGGACAUCAGGAGGUUAGUGCAAUGGCAUAAGCCAGCUUGACUGCGAGCGUGACGGCGCGAGCAGGUGCGAAAGCAGGUCAUAGUGAUCCGGUGGUUCUGAAUGGAAGGGCCAUCGCUCAACGGAUAAAAGGUACUCCGGGGAUAACAGGCUGAUACCGCCCAAGAGUUCAUAUCGACGGCGGUGUUUGGCACCUCGAUGUCGGCUCAUCACAUCCUGGGGCUGAAGUAGGUCCCAAGGGUAUGGCUGUUCGCCAUUUAAAGUGGUACGCGAGCUGGGUUUAGAACGUCGUGAGACAGUUCGGUCCCUA